rnacentral:rRNA from 1 species
UGGGGAAUAUUGGACAAUGGGGGCAACCCUGAUCCAGCGACGCCGCGUGAGGGAUGACGGCCUUCGGGUUGUAAACCUCUUUCAGCAGGGACGAAGCGCAAGUGACGGUACCUGCAGAAGAAGCACCGGCUAACUACGUGCCAGCAGCCGCGGUAAUACGUAGGGUGCGAGCGUUGUCCGGAAUUAUUGGGCGUAAAGAGCUUGUAGGCGGUUUGUCGCGUCUGCCGUGAAAAUUCGAGGCUCAACCUCGAACUUGCGGUGGGUACGGGCAGACUAGAGUGUGGUAGGGGAGACUGGAAUUCCUGGUGUAGCGGUGAAAUGCGCAGAUAUCAAGAGGAACACCGAUGGCGAAGGCAGGUCUCUGGGCCACUACUGACGCUGAGAAGCGAAAGCAUGGGGAGCGAA